rnacentral:rRNA from 1 species
UACAGAGGGUGCAAGCGUUAAUCGGAUUUACUGGGCGUAAAGCGUGUGUAGGUGGCUUCCUAAGUCGGUUGUGAAAUCCCUGGGCUCAACCUGGGAAUUGCAGUCGAUACUGGGAAGCUCGAGUUCGGUAGAGGGUGACGGAAUUCCCGGUGUAGCGGUGAAAUGCGCAGAUAUCAGGAGGAACACCGGUGGCGAAGGCGGGUCUCUGGGCCGAAACUGACGCUGAGGAGCGAAAGCGUGGGGAGCGAACAGG